ACCCAAAAAAAAAAUGAAGAGAUAACAUUUACUUUUGUUCGGAGAGUGGCAAGAAUAAGCGCAGAGGCGAUGGGUCCAGUGGGGAAGAGGCUCUGGGAGGUUCUGGUUUGUCCUCUCUCGAAGCAUCCCUUGAGCUCAAAAACGGGAUCCCUUGCUUGGUUCCACAAGAUGGGAAGAUACUCGAGGAACAAGAUGCCAAUGAUGCUAAUUCGUCUGCAAUGAAUGAAGAACAUCAAGGAAGAAGAUGAACUGUAAGAGAUUUCAGCGUCUCUUCCUUUAAUUGUCACUCUUCUGGUGCUCAUUCUGUUAUUAGUAUUGCAAAUAACUCUCAUCAAUUUCUGUUUAACUCUCACUGUCUUGAGUAAAUUAUGAUAAUGUCCUUUGAAAUUAAGAGGUGUUGCAUGUAAGAGUGCUGAUAAUUAAGAGCUUUUAGAUAUGAAAAAGCUUGGUACACUAAUUUUCUUUUUUUUUUUUUUUUUAAAUACCUUAUAAUUAAGUUAUAAACUACUUACUAUCUCAACUAA